ensembl:lncRNA
GCCCCGAGCCCCGAGCCCCGAGCCCGGAGCGAGCGCCGCGGCCGCCUCGCGCCAGUCGGUCCCUGGACGCGCCGCCGCCGCCGCCACCGCCGGGAAGGCAGCGGGCGCCGAGCAAGUUGCGAGCGCGCCUCUCCGCCCGGGGGAAAGUUUCCCCCGCGGCCGCCGACGCGAGUUGGCGCGGGGUCCGGCCGCUGCGGCUGGAAGUUUUGUUUUUUAUGACUUGAUUUUCGGCGGAGGGAAGCCUGCCCGGAAUAGCCCUGCCCUUGGAACCUGGGAGUGAGCAAGGGGCCCCCAGAGGGCUGGCAGGUCUACGUUCUACCUGUCAUCCCUGCCCACCCGCUUCACACCCAACCUGCCCCGAGAAGAGGAGCGGACUGAGACUCCGAGGGCAGCGGACGUCCACUUUCGAGUACCACGUGUGCGCUCAGUCUGCUCCCUGGGAAACCCUAAGAUCUCUGAUCCAGUAGAAUUUCAGGUCUCCUGGUCCAACAGUCCCCAGAUACAUUCAGAUGGCAGACCUCUGGGGUAUCUUUACCCAGCCCGAGGCUGAAAUGGCAGUAUAUGGAUGAAAGUUCCAGACCACUUUUUAGAGGCAUCAGUUCAUCUGGAGUAGGAUUUAGGACAUAUUGGGUUGAUCCAGCAAAAACUGUCCCCCGCCUCCUUUCAAAACUGCCUCGUCAGCCGGGAAACAGCUCCCUGAAUUACUGAAUGAAUUUUUAAUGGUCUGGGGCCGGGCUGGGGUUGGAGGAGGCAGAAUGGAGAUAGAGCACAGGAUAAACUUGUAAGAUGAGGGUGUCAGCCCAGGAGAUUCCGAGGGGGCCUUGCAACUUAAAAUCAGGAGAGUCUGACAUUUCAGGGUGCUAGGCAACCCUGUCUGUCUUCCAUCCAGUGGGGGGCACCUCCCUGGCCAUGUCUUGCUCCGCUUUGCCCCUGCACAGCAACGUCAACCAGGAGCCUGUCAGCCAUCAGACUGUGGCUUGGGGACAGAGAUGGUGGUGUUGGUGACCAGUUCCUGCUGGGCUCCACAUUUCUACCUGCAAGCUUGCACACUAGCUUUCUCUGGAUGUCUGUCUAGCUUCCACUGUCUCUGUUUUCCUGGGCAGAGCAAAUGGUGGCCCCUGUUAGGGACCCCUCUUUCCAGAGGGCUGCUUUUCUGGUCUAUUUCAUCAGCCAUUGAGAAGGAAAACCAGGAACAUUUGUUCAUGCUCAGCUGGGACACAGCAAAGGGAGGGGGCCCUUUGGAAGCCAGCACUUUGGUCCCCCAGAGCAGAUGAUGGGUUGAUGGGUAUUUUCACAAUCUGAUGCUGUUAAGUAACCCACCAGCCUGGGCUCCUCCUGCUGCACGAGCUGCCACCUUGGACCCGCAUCAGUGCUCUGCCCUGGGUGGUUGGGGGAUAGAGUGU